AGUGAACGCUGGCGGUAGGCCUAACACAUGCAAGUCGAACGGCAGCACAGUAAGGGCUUGCUCUUACGGGUGGCGAGUGGCGGACGGGUGAGGAAUACAUCGGAAUCUACUUUUUCGUGGGGGAUAACGUAGGGAAACUUACGCUAAUACCGCAUACGACCUACGGGUGAAAGCAGGGGAUCUUCUGACCUUGCGCGAUUGAAUGAGCCGAUGUCGGAUUAGCUAGUUGGCGGGGUAAAGGCCCACCAAGGCGACGAUCCGUAGCUGGUCUGAGAGGAUGAUCAGCCACACUGGAACUGAGACACGGUCCAGACUCCUACGGGAGGCAGCAGUGGGGAAUAUUGGACAAUGGGCGCAAGCCUGAUCCAGCCAUACCGCGUGGGUGAAGAAGGCCUUCGGGUUGUAAAGCCCUUUUGUUGGGAAAGAAAAGCAGCAGGUUAAUACCCCGCUGUUCUGACGGUACCCAAAGAAUAAGCACCGGCUAACUUCGUG
rnacentral:rRNA from 1 species